CCCAAAAAUGGAUGGCGCUUAAGCGCGCAACCUAUACCCGGCCGUCAGGGCAAGAGCCAGGCCCCGAUGAGUAGGAAGGUGCGGCAGUCGCCGCAAAACCCGGGGCUCGAGCCCGGGCGGAGCGGCCAUCGGUGCAAAUCUUGGUGGUAGUAGCAAAUAUUCAAAUGAGAACUUUGAAGGCAGAAGAGGGGAAAGGUUCCAUGUGAACGGCACUUGCACAUGGGUUAG
rfam:Gossypium arboreum cultivar AKA8401 contig_312116_1, whole genome shotgun sequence.